UAUAUUUGCGCCUUGACAGAAAUACUGUCUGUACAUAAAAAUCAUUAAAAUUAAUAUUGGAAUG
ncrna:unclassified sequences S15-Flavobacteria ribosomal protein leader